rnacentral:rRNA from 1 species
UACGUAGGAGGCGAGCGUUGUCCGGAUUUAUUGGGCGUAAAGAGCGUGUAGGCGGCCGUACAGGUCAGCUGUGAAAACUCGAGGCUCAACCUCGAGACGUCGGUUGAAACCGUACGGCUAGAGUCCGGAAGAGGAGAGUGGAAUUCCCGGUGUAGCGGUGAAAUGCGCAGAUAUCGGGAAGAACACCCGUGGCGAAGGCGGCUCUCUGGGACGGUACUGACGCUGAGACGCGAAAGCGUGGGGAGCAAACAGG